GAAAAGACAGUAGAGAGGGUUCUAGAGGCAAGACCGUGGGUUUAAGAUGAGGCUUUUUUAAACUAUUUUAAAGUGAACAAUUCAGUGGGAUUUAGUACAAUUCAGAGUGUUGCACAACCACCAUUUCUGUCUAGUUUCAGAACAUUUCCGUCACUGCAAAGUAAAACUUCUUACCCAUUAAGCAGCUUCUCCCCAUUCCCCCCUCCCCUCAGCCCCUGGCAACCACCAGGCUGCCUUCUGUCUCUAUGGAUUUAUCUAUUCUGGAUAUUUCCUAUAAAUGGAAUCAUAUGAUAUGUGACAUUUUGUGUCUGGCUUCUUUCACUUAACAUAUUGUUUUCAGGGUUCUUCUACCUUAUAGCAUGUAUCCGUACUUUCUUCCUUUUGUGGCUGGAUAAUAUUCCACUGUAUUUACCAGUUUGUUUUAUGCAUUUAUCUGCUGAGAAAGGACUGUUCCACCUUUUGGCUAUCGUGAACCGUGCUGCUCCAACAAGUACGUGUCUUUUGAAGUUGAGGCAAAGAGAGAAAUGCAAAAUAGAAGUAUUUGAAUUGUGAAAGUGAACUUGGGACGUGAAUCACAAAACCAUAGGAGUGGAAUUGAGACGGAUAGAAGGCAGAGGGCUGUAUUUUGGGACGUGUUCCAGUUAGGAGGAUAUUCAAUAAAGGUGCUGUGUGUUUUCUUCC